GACGAACGCUGGCGGCGUGCUUAACACAUGCAAGUCGAGCGGUAAGGCCUCUUCGGGGGUACACGAGCGGCGAACGGGUGAGUAACACGUGGGUGACCUGCCCUCAGCUCUGGGAUAAGCCUGGGAAACUGGGUCUAAUACCGGAUAUGACCACAUGUUGCAUGGUGUGUGGUGGAAAGUUUUUUCGGCUGGGGAUGGGCCCGCGGCCUAUCAGCUUGUUGGUGGGGUGAUGGCCUACCAAGGCGACGACGGGUAGCCGGCCUGAGAGGGCGACCGGCCACACUGGGACUGAGACACGGCCCAGACGCCUACGGGAGGCAGCAGUGGGGAAUAUUGCGCAAUGGGCGGAAGCCUGACGCAGCGACGCCGCGUGGGGGAUGACGGCCUUCGGGUUGUAAACCUCUUUCGACCGGGACGAAGCGUAAGUGACGGUACCGGUAGAAGAAGCACCGGCCAACUACGUG
rnacentral:rRNA from 1 species